rnacentral:rRNA from 1 species
UACGUAGGGGGCAAGCGUUGUCCGGAAUCAUUGGGCGUAAAGCGCGUGUAGGCGGUUCGGUAAGUCGGCUGUGAAAGUCCAGGGCUCAACCCUGGGAUGCCGGUCGAUACUGCCGGACUAGAGUUCGGAAGAGGCGAGUGGAAUUCCUGGUGUAGCGGUGAAAUGCGCAGAUAUCAGGAAGAACACCUAUGGCGAAGGCAGCUCUCUGGGACGGUACUGACGCUGAGACGCGAAAGCGUGGGGAGCGAACAGG